rnacentral:rRNA from 1 species
CGUUCGUUUAUUGUGGCAGUGGCUUUUAGCUGCGCUCGGUAUGUGUGCUGCGUGUACUUGCUAGUGCCCUGUGCUGCGGUGGGACGUCAAGGUCAGUUCGUAUACUGCGGGAAAUGGCUGCCGAGGAGGUAGGGCUUACGCUUGCGUUUGUCUAUUAUAUCUUGGCGGACGAGUAGUCGCGGUUGGGACUGAGGUGUCUACAACGUGCUUUUGAGUGGGUCUGCGUCUCCGUGUGCGCCGUGUGCGGAUAGCUUGCUAUGUGCGUGUGGCUGUGUAUGGAUUGAUGCGGACUUUAACUUGUUGCCGUUCGGGACGUUGACGAAAUGGAGCGAUCCGACCCGUCUUGAAACACGGACCAAGGAGUCUAACAUGUGUGCAAGUGUUAGGGUGUCGAAACCCCAGCGCGAAAUGAAAGUAAAGGUCAGCGCAAGCUGUCUGAGGUAGGAAACGUUGUGGAUUUCUGUGUGCGAUGUGGCACUAUCGACCUGCGAUCGAGUAGUGUGGCGAAAGAUUUGAGUUUGAGCACAUAUGUGGGUACCCGAAAGAUGGUGAACUAUGCCUGAGUAGGGUGAAGCCA